rnacentral:rRNA from 1 species
UACGUAGGGUGCGAGCGUUAAUCGGAAUUACUGGGCGUAAAGCGUGCGCAGGCGGUUAUUUAAGUCAGGUGUGAAAGCCCUGGGCUUAACCUAGGAAUUGCGCUUGAGACUGGAUAGCUUGGAGUGCGGCAGAGGGAGGUGGAAUUCCACGUGUAGCAGUGAAAUGCGUAGAGAUGUGGAGGAAUACCGAUGGCGAAGGCAGCCCCCUGGGCCAAUACUGACGCUCAUGCACGAAAGCGUGGGGAGCAAACAGG